UGGUGGUCUGGCUUGCCUUUCACCUGAUGGUUUCAAGGCCAUGAUGGACGUGGUUGGUUACUAUAAAGAGAACACACAAAUCAUAAUGGACACAUUUAACUCGCUAGGUUACAAGGUGUAUGGAGGUAAAAAUGCACCCUACGUCUGGGUACACUUCCCUGGACGAAGCUCAUGGGAGGUUUUCAGCGAGAUACUUGAGAAGACUCAUGUCGUUACUACUCCAGGCAGUGGUUUCGGGCCUGGUGGUGAAGGUUUUGUGAGAGUAAGUGCUUUUGGGCACAGGGAAAACGUCAUUGAAGCUUGCAGAAGAUUCAAGGAAUUGUACAAGUAAAGUAACUCGUUCGCCUGCAUAUCUAUGUGAAAAGAUGCAGCAGGCUGCACUUCUGGCAUUCAUUGAGAUGAUGUUUCUUGACUACUCGUUAACAUUUUGAUCAUCCUGUAUGGAAUCUGUUGCUCUGGAAGAAUAAAGCUUAUUCUAUGAUUGCCACUAUCAAUUUUUCCAUAUUAAAUAGUAAUAUGAAGUUUGAA
rnacentral:misc_RNA from 1 species